rnacentral:snRNA from 1 species
GUCCCUUAGGGGACAUCCGAUAAAAGUGGAAUGAUACAGAGAAGAUUAACAUAAUCCCCGUGAAAGGAGGACACGCAGAAAUGGUCCCAAAAAAAACAUUUGA